CCUACGGGAGGCAGCAGUGGGGAAUAUUGGGCAAUGGGCGAAAGCCUGACCCAGCAACGCCGCGUGAAGGAAGAAGGCUUUCGGGUUGUAAACUUCUUUUGACAGGGAAGAGCAGAAGACGGUACCUGUCGAAUAAGCCACGGCUAACUACGUGCCAGCAGCCGCGGUAAUACGUAGGGGGCAAGCGUUAUCCGGAUUUACUGGGUGUAAAGGGAGCGCAGACGGUGAGACAAGUCUGAAGUGAAAGCCCGGGGCUCAACCCCGGGACUGCUUUGGAAACUGCCUGACUGGAGUGCUGGAGAGGCAAGCGGAAUUCCUAGUGUAGCGGUGAAAUGCGUAGAUAUUAGGAAGAACACCAGUGGCGAAGGCGGCUUGCUGGACAGUAACUGACGUUGAGGCUCGAAAGCGUGGGGAGCAAACAGGAUUAGAUACCCGUGUAGUC
rnacentral:rRNA from 1 species